UACGUAGGGGGCAAGCGUUGUCCGGAAUCAUUGGGCGUAAAGAGCGUGUAGGCGGCUCGAUAAGUCUGCUGUGAAAGUCCAGGGCUCAACCCUGGAAGGCCGGUGGAAACUGUCGGGCUAGAGUCCGGAAGAGGCGAGUGGAAUUCCCGGUGUAGCGGUGAAAUGCGCAGAUAUCAGGAAGAACACCAACGGCGAAGGCAGCUCGCUGGGACGGUACUGACGCUGAGACGCGAAAGCGUGGGGGAGCGAACAGG
rnacentral:rRNA from 1 species